rnacentral:rRNA from 2 species
GGUGGUAAUGCCGGAUGCUCCGACUCCUCGCAUGGGGUGUCGGGAAAGAUUUCAUCGGUAUGGGAUGGGGUCGCGUCCUAUCAGGUAGUCGGCGGGGUAACGGCCCACCGAGCCUACGACGGGUAGCCGGCCUGAGAGGGCGACCGGCCACAUUGGGACUGAGAUACGGCCCAGACUCCUACGGGAGGCAGCAGUGGGGAAUAUUGCACAAUGGGCGCAAGCCUGAUGCAGCGACGCCGCGUGCGGGAUGACGGCCUUCGGGUUGUAAACCGCUUUUGAUCGGGAGCAAGCCUUCGGGUGAGUGUACCUUUCGAAUAAGCACCGGCUAACUACGUGCCAGCAGCCGCGGUAAUACGUAGGGUGCAAGCGUUAUCCGGAAUUAUUGGGCGUAAAGGGCUCGUAGGCGGUUCGUCGCGUCCGGUGUGAAAGUCCAUCGCUUAACGGUGGAUCUGCGCCGGGUACGGGCGGGCUGGAGUGCGGUAGGGGAGACUGGAAUUCCCGGUGUAACGGUGGAAUGUGUAGAUAU